UGAAUUACUGAAUUUUUAAUUAUAACAUAACAGAAAGGAAGAAGAUUUCCACUAGUUGUUUCUUGGGACAAAUGAGAAAUUAAACUGGCAUGAAUUUUUACGAAGAAAGGAAAUGAAAAUAAUCAAAAACGUAAAUAUAAAAGCAUUUAACUGAGAAGCUAAAAAGCUUCCUACUAUGUUGAAAGUUCCUUAGUACAAAUCAAAAACUAAACUGGCAUAUCAUUUUAUGAGGAAGUGACAUGGAAUGAAUUAGAAAUGUAAAUAUAUAAGCAUUUAACCAAGAAACUAAAAUGCUUCCUACCACAUUGAAAGUUCCUUAGUACAAAUGAAAAACUAAACUAGCAUAUCAUUUUAUUAGGAAAUGAUAUGAAAUGAGUCACAAAUGUAAAUAUAAAAGCAUUUAACCAAGAAAUACUGUCCAACAAGUUUUAAACUAUCAUGUUAUUUUAUGAGGAAAGGAAAUGAAAUGAAUCAGAAAAGUAAAUAUAAAAGCAUUUAACCAAGAAACUAAAAAGCUUCCCACCAAGUUGUAACAACCUUAAGACAAAUAAAAAAUUGAACUGGCAUGUUAUUUUAUGAAGAAAGGAAAUGAAAUGAAUCAGAAAUAUAAGUAUAUUAGGUAUUAGGAUUAUUUACUCGGAAACCACUCAUCGAGUUUUACUUUCUUCAGCCACUCGAACCAAUUGAUUAUGUCAAUCUACUAGAACACCAAAAUAAUUGGGAGAUCUCGGGUUCGACCUCUUAGAACUUAAAGUCUAUAUUAAUUUGGAUAUUGACAUA